AUUGAACGCUGGCGGAAUGCUUUACACAUGCAAGUCGAACGGCAGCACGGGUGCUUGCACCUGGUGGCGAGUGGCGAACGGGUGAGUAAUAUAUCGGAACGUAUCCAAUAAUGGGGGAUAACUAGCCGAAAGGUUAGCUAAUACCGCAUACGCCCUGAGGGGGAAAGCUGGGGAUCGUAAGACCUAGCGUUGAUGGAGCGGCCGAUAUCUGAUUAGCUAGUUGGUGGGGUAAGAGCCUACCAAGGCGACGAUCAGUAGCUGGUCUGAGAGGACGACCAGCCACACUGGAACUGAGACACGGUCCAGACUCCUACGGGAGGCAGCAGUGGGGAAUUUUGGACAAUGGGGGCAACCCUGAUCCAGCCAUUCCGCGUGAGUGAAGAAGGCCUUCGGGUUGUAAAGCUCUUUCGCAAGGGAAGAAAACUCGAUCUCUAAUAUAGGUUGAGGCUGACGGUACCUUGAUAAGAAGCACCGGCUAACUACGUGCCAGCAGCCGCGGUAAUACGUAGGGUGCGAGCGUUAAUCGGAAUUACUGGGCGUAAAGCGUGCGCAGGCGGUUUUGAAAGUCAGAUGUGAAAUCCCCGGGCUCAACCUGGGAACUGCGUUUGAAACUCCAAAGCUAGAGUAUGGGAGAGGGAGGUAGAAUUCCACGUGUAGCAGUGAAAUGCGUAGAGAUGUGGAGGAAUACCAAUGGCGAAGGCAGCCUCCUGGCCUAAUAC
rnacentral:rRNA from 1 species